rnacentral:rRNA from 1 species
UACGUAGGUGGCAAGCGUUGUCCGGAUUUACUGGGCGUAAAGGGCGCGCAGGCGGCUCUGAAAGUCAGAUGUGAAAGCCCCGGGCUUAACCUGGGAAUUGCAUUUGAUACUCUGGAGCUUGAGUGUGGGAGAGGAGAGUGGAAUUCCCAGUGUAGAGGUGAAAUUCGUAGAUAUUGGGAAGAACACCGGUGGCGAAGGCGGCUCUCUGGACCACAACUGACGCUGAGGCGCGAAAGCGUGGGGAGCAAACAGG